rnacentral:lncRNA from 1 species
AACUUUGGGUAUAAUUUGUUGUGCAGCAAUAAAUAGCUAAUAUACAAUAUUUCCACUGAGAAGUUAACUGUUAUUUUGAACUCUGAAUCUCAUAUAGACCAGUGUUCACUUUAUCUUACUCUCUCUCUCUCCUCUCUCUCACUCUCUGUCUCUGAAAUUUCUUCAGAUUUUUUAUUUGUUUCUGGUGCUCUUACUUUUCACAAUGUUGGAACUUAUUGAUGGUUCUGUCUGUGUCUAUUGGGCUGGACAUGCUUUAGGAUCUUUUAUAACCUGUACUCAGUUUGAGUAGUUUCUUGGGUUGAUUCCGUUUUGAUUUUCUCAUUUCUUUGGAAAUUUAUAAUUUUAAAAUUUUGGACCACUGAGAACAUUUUUAAAUUGUCUUAAUCUAACUUUCCACUUCUAUUCUUUUGCCUAUUCUUCUUAGAUAAUUUUUACACUUUAUUUUCAAGCCCUUCUAUUAAUAUUUUUAUUUCUGCUGUGUUAUUUCUAAGACUUACAGAUUUUAUAAUGCUAUUUUUUAGCAUCUCUCCUAUUUUGUGGAUAUGUCAUCUUUUCUCUCUGAAUAUGAUAAUGAGGCUUUCAUUUGUUUUCUAAGUUUUUAUAUCCCUAGGUAUUUACUGUUUUGAUAAUUUUUUCUUCCCUGUUUGUUUGCUUUGCUUUUUUCUUCCAAGAUAAAGCCUGGAAGCUGCACGUCACCUGCCAGCUUUGUGUGUGCCCAGUGAGUGCAGGUGGCAUAAUGACCAGCGGUGACUUGAAUGACAAGGGGACAGAACAGCUGGACAAUCCAAUUCCUAGAUGCUUUCUCCAGUUAUGGCCCUGACUGGGAUCUCCGAAGAAUGACUCAGCUGAAACUGUCAGUGAGGAUGCUUACCUGUGGUCUCCCCAUCAUGGUGGUAUCAGGGUUGUUGAACACCUUACAUGGCUCCAAAAGCAAGUGUUCUGGAAUGUAAGGCAACAGCUGUGUGGUCUUUCAUAAUCCAGCAUCAGAAGUCACAUGGCAUCACUCCUGCUAAAAUUUCUUUGUGGAAGCAGCCACAAAACUGCCCAAAUUCAAGUAGAGGGCACACAGAUCUUAUUUUUUGAUGGGAGGACUCACAAAAAUUUUGCCACCAUAUUAUAAAAACACUAUAAGAUCUAAUAGUAACUUUAACUUUUUUUAACCAAUCCUUCUAUUUUCAGCCCAGACUUCACUUCCUUAUUCAGAUGUAUAAAUGUCUUCUGUGGCUUUGUGAUCAAAUCUGAAUGUUUCUUGGAUUUACCCCUGCCAGCUAAGGAUUUGGCCUUCUUUGAUCUGUUAAAUCAGUUCUCAAACACUGACUUGUUUUCCAUCUAAAAUAUCAGGGUGACCUUUAUCCCAUUCUCAUUGCUUUGAGGAUUUUGUGCCCCCUUUUUUAAAGUCACUUUCUAUGUAUUUUUAUAUGAGUGAGGUUUUGGGAGAAAGUACAGAUAAAUAUAUAUUCUCAAUCUACCACUUUAAUUGAAAAUUCUUGUUUUUUCUUUUACAAAAUUCCUAAUGUUUGCCUAACAAACAUUUAUUGAGAAACUGCUGUAUUUUCAGUAUGUGUUAAGGUCUGUGUACAUCUAUUUUAUAUACAUUAUCUUAUUUAAUAUGCUCAUUUAAUUUCCACAUCUUGUUUAACAUUUAUAAUCUUUUGAUUUGUUAAAUACAAUUUGUAGAAGACCAUUGGUUUAGCGUGAGCUGCACCAGGCCUGGCAGACCAAACCAAAAUGUAGUAUCUCAUACUAAAGUUCCAUGCCACCAAGCUGAAACUAAGUUGUUUAUCUGACUUUCCAAGAAGUCAGGAGAAAGAGAUAACAGUCAAAUCCCCAAAUAUGCUAGUUUGAGUUGGCAUGAUAGGAAAGUUCCUUCCACUUUAGCCUUUAUACGAAAGUAACUUUGGAAUGAUCAGUCUGCUUUUUGUUUCCUGUUUCUGUUUCAGCACUUUUUGUAAAGCCAACUUCUUCUCAGCACAUCAGAACACUCAUUCUACUUUAUAGAAUGAGGUAUAAUCUGAAUCUAAAAUCACAAAUAAAAGCCAAUUAAGAUUUUUAAAGUAAGUUUGUUGUAAUUUUGUCUUUUGACAGAUUUCAUCAUUGCCUACAUUUGUCUUCAGACGACCUGCAGUACAAACUUGGCUUAAACCUGCAGUUGACAAUGGUAACAGGAAUCUUAUUUUAAAAAAUAAUAUGCGCCACCAGCUAAGUUGGUCAUGAUGAGGUCUGGGCCUUGAUAGCCUUCUGGGUUUUAAUUCACACAAUAUGUUUGAAAAAAGAAAAAUCAAAGUAACUGUAAUUUUUUUGUAAAGCAAAAUACUUUUUAAAAGCCAUGAGGCACGUGUUACUCAAAGGGCUCCUUGGAUGAAUUAUUUUGUAAGGCAAAUGAUUUGUUAUAGUUCCAAUGACAUCUAAAUUUGCCAGUUGUAAAUACUGGAAUUUUUGGUCCUUGCAUUGAACUUACUGGUAUUGAUGUGCUAUAUAACUAAAUGUCUUCUAAAAGGAUUCACCGUGGGAGAAUAAAUUACAAUGGAUAAAAAACAGCAUUACAAUCCCUCAAUAAAAUGGGAUUUUAACAGACAAAGCUGAAUCUCCAUGUGCUCUCUCUCUCUUCUAACAUCAAUGCAGCUCCUGGUAUGUGGUCGUUCUCAGGCCCAAAGGCCCAUUUUGCUUUUGGCUGCAACUCUGUAACUCUGUAACAGAGACCAAGUGCCUGCAGGGAGCAGAUGUUUGGGGCAGUAUCUGCUAAGGUGGCUUUGCUGAAACUUGUUUCUCUCAUUGGGUCUUGGAAGUGGCGAAUAGGACGUUCCUAUAGAAAAACUCAGAAAGAUAAUGAAGCUGCUAUUUGCAAGAACUGCAUCUGUCUGACUCUCAGACAGAUCUACACCAGUGUUUAGCAGACAUGCCAAAUGAUAAGAGUCAAUCACAGCCUCUGUAGAAAAUACUGGAACCCUGAUGUGGACUUACUGAAUCAGAAUCUCCAGGCAAUAAGCUUGAGAUUCUCUGAGACUGUGAAAGAUAAUCUUAAAGAGGCACUCACGAAACACAAGCUCCUUCUCCGGGAAAAAGAAUCAUCACCCUUGUUAUCCCAUGAAAAUUCAUCUUCUCCUUUUCAGCUGAUAUGAGGACUUGAUCUGUCCUUUCCUAUAAGUGCCAUCUGUGUUUAAAUGAGGCUGUUACUCUAACUCAAAGCAGACUUGCAAGAGUAAAAUAAUCAAUCUUCAUCAUAUUGCUGCACUUUCGACAGUUAAUUUUCUAGAGUAAUUUGUCAUUGUGAGGAGCAUAAGAUUUGUCUGAAUUUGUGUCAAAGGUUAUUGACUGAAUUGCCACCUCAUCUUUUCAGUCAAUCUAUAAAUAUGGGCAAGUUUGGGCAGAGGCUAAUGGCCUUCUCACUAAGGGGAUGAGAUUGUCCAAGUUAGGCAACUGAUAAGAGGUAGAAAUAUCUAUUGUGUCACCCAUUUCUUGUGGUAGCAUUGACUUAGAGUUAAUCUCAGAAACUUCACUUAACCUUCUUAAUCCUUUUCUUCCUGUAAAACAAGGCUAAAAAUUGUCAUAACUAUAUUCUAGUUUCCACAAAAGCUAAUCUAAGUAUUAAAAUUUUUAUUGUGACUUUGUGAGAGUGAUCCUGUAUUUUUCACAAAACUAAGAAGAAAAUAUUUUUAUUUAGUGUUUUUCUAUGAAUAGCUUUUGGUUUUUGGAAAAACCAUCUGAUCUUUAUUACUAAGAUUCUUGCUUCUUAGGUCAAAUUCUUGUUCCCUGUCUUUAUAUAGAGUCUAAUAUUGGGAACAUACCCAAGGACCACAUGGAUAAUUUUAUGAUGCUUGCUGACUAUUAUGUUUCUUGCCCACUUUAAUAGCCUAAUAAUAAUAGUUACGAAUUCUUAUUGAGAAAUAGCCAUUCUUAAUCAAUGCCAAUGACAGUGUUUCCUCUUUCAGACUGAAGGAAAAACAGGGAGAAAACCAGUUCAUAUAUUAUGGUUAAACACUGAUAAAACAUUUUGGUUAAAUAUCUGCCUUCAUGGGUUAUUGCAAAAUAGAUUAGUUUAAAGCUCAUCUAGCCCUGAAAUAUACAGUUAGAUUAUUUUUUAUGGAUUUCAAUUAUUUUUAUUUCAUUACAGUUAUUUUUUUUUCAAUACAUGGCCUGUUUGAAGAUACAUCAUAGUAAUGGUAACAGCAGCAACCACUGCAGUAAAUAACUGACAAUUGCUGAACAAUUCAUGUCUGCCAUGCCAUGCUAUGAGGGCCUUAAGGAAUAAAUACAACUUAUAUUCAUAAUAAACAUAGGAGGUUGUAGAAGGCUAAAUAAUGGGUCACCAAAGAUACCCACAUCCCAUAAUUCCUGUAACUGGUGACUAUGUUACCUUGCAUGGUAGAAGGGAUUUUGCAGUUGAGGUUAAGGUUAAAGACUUUAUAAAGGCAGAUUAUCUUGGAUUAUCUGGGUGGGUCUUUAAAAGCGGAAGAGAAAAGCAGAAAAGCAAGUCAGACAGACAGAUGCAACUACAGAAGAGACAGUAGGGACUCAACUCAAAUGACUAACUUUGAAGAUGGAGGAGGUGGUCCAUGAGGCAAGGAAUGCACUUGCUUCUAGAAGCUGGGAAUAACCCACAGCUAGAAGCAAAGUAGGAAAUGGAAGUCUCAAUUCUACAUCGUAAGGAAGUGAAUUCUGCCAAUAACUUGAAAGAGAAGGAAAUAGAUUCCCUCCAGAGGCUCUAGAAAAUAAUGUAUCCCUGCUGACACCUUAAUUUGAUUUGAGCCCCAUGAGACCCACGUUGGACUUCUGACUUAUGGAGCUUGUAAGAUAAUAAAUUUGCAUUGUUUCAGCCACUACAUUUGUGGAAAUUUGUUACAACCACAAUAGGAAACUCAUAGAAUAGUAAUCACUAGUAAUAUCUUCAUUUAACAGUUGAGGAAAUUGAGGCAGGACAACACAAGUUAUAAAAAUUAUCUCAGUUCUUAGUAGAGUUCCUGGCAUAUGACAAGCAGUUAAUGUCUUUGUAGAAUGAAUGAAUGAAUAAAUAAAUAGAUUUUUUCUUAUGCUUUCCCAAA